rnacentral:rRNA from 1 species
UAAGGAAUAUUGGUCAAUGGAGGCAACUCUGAACCAGCCAUGCCGCGUGCAGGAAGAAGGCCCUAUGGGUCGUAAACUGCUUUUGAACAAGAGAAAACCCCGGUACGUGUACUGGGUUGAUAGUAUUGUUAGAAUAAGCAUCGGCUAACUUCGUGCCAGCAGCCGCGGUAAGACGAAGGAUGCAAGCGUUAUCCGGAUUCAUUGGGUUUAAAGGGUGCGUAGGCGGACUGAUAAGUCAGUGGUGAAAUCUCUCGGCUUAACCGAGAAACUGCCAUUGAUACUGUUAGUCUAGAGUACAGAUGAUGUGGGCGGAAUAUGACAUGUAGUGGUGAAAUACUUAGAUAUGUCAUAGAACACCGAUUGCGAAGGCAGCUCACAAAACUGUAACUGACGCUGAGGCGCGAAAGCGUGGGGAGCAAACAGGAUUAGAUACCCGCGUAGUCCCUGAGCGGGCUGGCAAGGCGCAU